CUGUGAGUAAUAUCCUGGAAUUCUCCUAUGUAGUGUACAAACUGUGCUCUGCGCUCCUAAUAGGAAGAGGAAGUUCAAGAGAUAUGUCUUUGAAGAGAAGUUAUUUAGGAAUUAAUGUGGAAAGAACUUAACGUCAAGUAUUUUUUUCAGGCACAAGAGCAAUAUAAUUAAACUGGGUUCUUUCAUCUAUACCAAUAUGUACUCUAUACUGUAUAGCGUUUAUGUACUCUAUACCAUAUGUACAAAUUUUCUCAGCCUUCUGUUGGCCUGUUUAUAAUUUUGUAAUACUUUUUGAUGUUUUAUUAUUGAUUUCGAAGUGAGGUCGGCUUUGAUAACACAUUUUGAUUUUAAACUACUAUAGUAGAAAGUUGUAAAAUUGACUAUUAUUUAAAAUCUU
rnacentral:lncRNA from 1 species